rnacentral:rRNA from 1 species
GACGAACCGUGCGAACGUUGUUCGGAAUCACUGGGCUUAAAGGGCGCGUAGGCGGGUGUCCAAGUCAGGGGUGAAAUCCCACGGCUCAACCGUGGAAGUGCCUCUGAUACUGGCCAUCUCGAGGGAGGUAGGGGCGUGCGGAACUUCCGGUGGAGCGGUGAAAUGCGUAGAUAUCGGAAGGAACGCCGGUGGCGAAAGCGGCGCGCUGGACCUCUUCUGACGCUGAGGCGCGAAAGCCAGGGGAGCAAACGGG